rnacentral:lncRNA from 10 species
GCACAGUGAGACCUGCGUGCGGGAGGCGCACUCCACCUCAACCCAGCGCGCCGCCUGGAACAGCCCCCGGAGCCGGGGAGCUGAGCUAGGGAAGGCCGAGGGCUUUGCCUGCAGGCCAUUGUUAAUAAAACUCAUUACUCUGGGAAUGUUCCGAGGCAGCCCGACCCUUGCCUGCCUAAGAAAAUCAGCCUCUGCUCCUCAUUCUAAGCCCUUAUCCAACGUCCCCACCUGCAAGACCAGUUCCUGAGGGUCGGCAUGAAGAAGAGGAAAAGCACGUGGAGGAUAGAGUAAAAUACGUAGACUAAGAGAGAAAGUAGGAUGCGGUGAUGGAAGUGAGAGCCGCUUGGAAAAAACUGGGAGAGAGGAGGAGGAGGUGGCGCUUGGAGCAGCAAAGACUCUGCGGUGUGUGCGCGUGCGCGCGAGAAAGAAUGGGGAAAGUAAUAGAUACUCGAAAGGCUGACUGGGUUGAUGAAUGGAAUUCCCCUCCGUAAUUUUUGGAGUCAUAAUUUUUGCCCCUUGGACUGUGCUUCUUGAAGUGCAGCGUGCCUGGAGCCCGGGCCGUGGGGCCACUCGGCUACGGAUGCUAUGUGAUCUAACCAGGACCCAGGAAGGGGCCCUCUGGCUGCAGUGAGAGAGGGGUACACGGGGCGACACGCAGUGUUCUCAGGAGGGCGGCACAGCUGCUGCAGGUGAGAAGUGCUGGGGACGGUCGAGAUCACUGGACGCCCUCAGAAAUGGUACUGCGGCUGGAGAAAUCAUUAACGAGGAAAGAAAUAACCCAAUUUCCGGGAGGCUGGGACAGGAGAAUUGCUUGAACCCGGGAGCAGAGGUUGCCGGGAGCCGAGAUCGCGCCACUGCACUCCAGCCUGGGCGACAGAGCGAGAUUCCGUCUCAAAAAAAAAAAAGAAAAGAAAAGAAAAGAAAGGAAAAGAAAAGAAGAGAAAAGAAAGAAACACCCAAUUUCAGAAAGAGAUGAGAAUGGAGAGCUCAGAAGACACAAUUUCUCUCUCACACUUCUGCCUUCUGGCCACAUCCUCCCAGACAGGAUAAAUUUGAAGGUGGUUCCCCCACGCCCCGCUAAAGAAAGAGCUAUCUCCAACUUUGCCACCUGAGAAACACAAGUCCAAGUCCAAUACUUACAGAAGAAAUAACUAUUCCACCUAGUCAAGGAACUAGCCAACACUUAAUGGAGGAUUGCCCUUGGUUAUAGAGCUAACUGCAAAUGAAGUAACUAGAGGAAGACCAUUUACCUUCUCCAUUGAAGAGACCAUUCAAGAGCCAACUCAGCAAUCAGGGUCUAGCAGUGUUACUGACUGGAUGACUGGCACUUAGAGUCCAGCACCCUGCUGAGAAACCAGCAACCCAUGUGAGGAUUCCAUGGCCAACUGAGAUCACAAGACUCUUGAACAGAAGAAAUGCCAAGAGAGCUAGAAUCUUACAGAUGGUGGUAUUAAUAAUGGAGCAAACUAGAACCAAUGACAAAGACAUGAAGUCUGAAAAUAGCACAGAGAAUAUAAAUAUUGUGAGAUGAAUGUUCCCCCUUCAAUUCUCCUUAUUUGCCAAAUAUUUUCAUUUCCUUUUGUCAUUAUAGAAAAUAAAACCAUGCAUCACAGUCAAAAGUGCUCCACUAGCAACAUUGUAUGAUUCACUCUUUUUGUCAUACAUGUCUUUAGUAAUUGAUGGAUAUUAAAAUCACACAGACUAUUUAAUAAGGGCUUAUUUUACUUGCAUCGCCACUUUGAUUCAAAAAAAGAUUUAAGGUAGUUAAUAAGGUUAGAAGGAAAGAGAGUUAACAAAGACAAGAACUUUAACUAGAGUCAAAACUAAAGUCAAUAUUUAAGAAAUAAACACCACAUAGUCUCCCACGCUUUCUC